rnacentral:rRNA from 1 species
UUCCGGUUGAUCCCGCCGGAGGCCACUGCUAUUGGCUUCGACCUAAGCCAUGCGAGUCUAUGGACUUCGGUCCAUGGCGGACGGCUCAGUAACACGUGGCUAACCUACCCUCAGGUGGGGGAUAACCUCGGGAAACUGAGGGUAAUACCCCAUAGGGGAAGAGGUCUGGAAUGAUCCUUCCUUGAAAGGACAUCCGCCUGAGGAUGGGGCUGCGUCCGAUUAGGUAGUUGGUGGGGUAAUGGCCCACCAAGCCUACGACCGGUACGGGCCUUGAGAGAGGAAGCCCGGAGAUGGGGACUGAGACACGGCCCCAGCCCCUACGGGGCGCAGCAGGCGCGAAACCUCCACAAUGCACGAAAGUGCGAUGGGGGAACCCCAAGUGCCUAUGCACAGCAUAGGCUUUUCCCAAGUGUAAACAGCUUGGGGAAUAAGGGCUGGGCAAGUCCGGUGCCAGCAGCCGCGGUAACACCGGCGGCCCGAGUGGUGGCCACUCUUAUUGGGCCUAAAGCGUCCGUAGCCGGUCCAGUAAGUCCCUGUUUAAAUCCUACGGCUCAACCGUAGGGCUGGCAGGGAUACUGCUGGACUUGGGACCGGGAGAGGACGAGGGUACUCCAGGGGUAGCGGUGAAAUGUGUUGAUCCCUGGAGGACCACCUAUGGCGAAGGCACUCGUCUGG